AGGACGAACGCUGGCGGCGUGCUUAACACAUGCAAGUCGAGCGGAAAGGCCCUUCGGGGUACUCGAGCGGCGAACGGGUGAGUAACACGUGAGUAAUCUGCCCCUAGCUCUGGGAUAGCUCCGGGAAACCGGGAUUAAUACUGAAUACGACCACCUUAGACAUCUUUUGUGGUGGAAAGAAUUUCGGCUAGGGAUGAGCUCGCGGCCUAUCAGCUUGUUGGUGGGGUAACGGCCUACCAAGGCGACGACGGGUA
rnacentral:rRNA from 1 species